AGUGAACGCUGGCGGUAGGCCUAACACAUGCAAGUCGAACGGCAGCACAGUAAGAGCUUGCUCUUACGGGUGGCGAGUGGCGGACGGGUGAGGAAUACAUCGGAAUCUACUUUUUCGUGGGGGAUAACGUAGGGAAACUUACGCUAAUACCGCAUACGACCUACGGGGGAAAGCAGGGGAUCUUCGGACCUUGCGCGAUUGAAUGAGCCGAUGUCGGAUUAGCUAGUUGGCGGGGUAAAGGCCCACCAAGGCGAGGAUCCGUAGCUGGUGUGAGAGGAUGAUCAGCCACACUGGAACUGAGACACGGUCCAGACUCCUACGGGAGGCAGCAGUGGGGAAUAUUGGACAAUGGGCGCAAGCCUGAUCCAGCCAUACCGCGUGGGUGAAGAAGGCCUUCGGGUUGUAAAGCCCUUUUGUUGGGAAAGAAGAGCAGCAGGUUAAUACCCCGCUGUUCUGACGGUACCCAAAGAAUAAGCACCGGCUAACUUCGUG
rnacentral:rRNA from 1 species